GGAAGCGGGGUUGGGCGUCCGCUGGCUGUUACCAGGGCAACCGGAGGCGGUUGACAGUUAUCCGCGGGUUGGAGUGGUUAGCUGGAGAGGCUGAGAUGCUCAGAGGUCGUUUGGGAUGAGCGAAGGGGUCAAGAGGGCCCUUUUAAAGAGCAGAUUCUCCUGUCAGGAGGUUAUCCAGUUGUGCCCCGCAGGAGCGCCUGCCCGGGGGAUCUGGGUCAUGCCGUCUGGUUCGUCUUUGAGCAUUCCGACGAGAUGAAAUGUGGCCCAGAGUAGCUCCUGUCACUUCUCCAGCUUUCUGCCUCCUUUUAGAAAAUUGAGUUGAAGAGACAGAGAUGAAGUGGACGCAGCAUGUGAAGACAAUUCUUUCAAGAAGUUUGGCUGUAAAGGAGAAAAAAAAGUGCCAUCGAGUUAAUUCUGACUCCUAGUGACCCUGUGGACAGCAGAGCGGAACCCUGCCCGGUCUUUCUGCGCCAUCCUCUCACCUUCUGGUGUUACAUCAGACAAUGCUCUGCUGCUAUUCAUAGGGUUUUCAUGGCCAGUUUUUUUCAGAAGCGAGUGGCCAGGGCCUUCUUCCUAGUCUGUCUUAGUCUGGAAACUCUACUGAAACCUGUCCACCAUGGGUGACCCGCUGGUAUUUGAAAUCCCGAUGGCAUAGCUUUCAGCAUCACAGCAACAAGCAGCCACCACAGCAUGACAACCGACAGUCAGGUGGUGUGGUCCCCUGACUGGGCAGUGACCAGGGCCUCGGCGGUGAGAGCGCCAGAUCUUAACCACAAGACCACCAGGGCUGGCUUAAAAAUUAUCACAAGGAGAAAAAAACAAACAAACACAACCUGCCCCCCCCAACACACACACACACCCCUGUAAUUGAUGUUGAAGCAGGAACCCGAGAACAUAUUUGCAACAUAUAUCACAAAAGCUGUAUGUCCUUACUAUACAAAGAGCUCUAACAUCUCACUAAAAAGGUCCAACACCCUAACAGACAAACCUGGCGAGGAACAUGAACAAGCAAAUAGCACACACACACUACAAAUGGCUGAGCAUGUGGAAAUACUUUUGUUCUUGUUAGUGAAGAAAUACAAAUAAUGGCAACAAUGAGAUAUGUUUUCAUUGGAUUAGCAAAACUACAAAGGUUGGUGUUGGCAGAGAUAGGAGAUAGGGUACUGUCAGAGUAUAAAUCAGUUAGGCCGUUCCAAGUGCAGUGUGGCAACAUGUAUCAAAAUGUGAAAGAUGCAAACCUUUGAAUCAACAGUGAUGCUUCUAGGAAUGUGUCCAAAGGUGAUAAUCAGACAAAUCAGAAAAGACGCAUGUGCAACAAUGUUCAUUACAGUAGUUGUUAAAAAUUGGAAACAACUUAAAGGCUUAUAAAUAAGAGACUAAAUGUAAUUUUGAGCAAAAAAUAGCUUGUUACAAAACAUCGUGAGAAAUGUGAUCCUGUUUAUAUAAAUUACGUGUAAGUACACAUAGAAGUAAUGUUUAACAAAAUGUUAGUAAUGGAAAUCUCUGGUGGGAUUUCAGAUGAGUUUCAAGCUUGUGAAAAAGUGAGAAAAUGGUAUGAACUACUGUGUACCCCACUCAGCUACAAUGCAUGCCCAGUCUUGUUUCAUCUAUGGUCCCACCCCAGUUUUUGAGGCAAAUCUAAGACAGCUUAUCUGUAGAUAGUUUGUGUACCUCUAAAAGAUAAGGAUGCUUUUAAAACAUAAUCUCAAUAUCAUCAUACCUAAAAAACUUCUAACAAUUCCUUCAUAAAAUCAAUUAUAUCUGAUCAGUGUUCACAUUUUUGUCUUAUACAUUGUUUUGUAGUUAGAUCGAGGUCCAUACAUUACCAUUCGUCUGUGUAUUUCCUAAUGUAUAGAUUCUCUCUCUCUCUCUCCCUCUUUUUUCCCCCCUGCAAUUUAUUUGGGGAAGUAACUGUGUUGUUUGAGCUAAAGAGGAGUUUUGAGAGUAGGCCUGACCCUAAUAUUUACAGACCUGGGACCAUAGUGCAAAUGGAGCCCCAAAUACCAUAUAUCUAACUAUUUAAAUGCCUCAGCUCCAGCUAACAGUUCUGUACAUUCUACACUCCUGCCUUGACAAAUAAACCCUCUUAACGACCUGGAAAGCCAAGUUAGAAUUUAGAAUUCUCAGACUUCUUAGAAUUCCUCACUGGAUUGUGCUUCACCGGGGAGCUGGCACUUGGCCCACAGGCCGUCCCAUUCUCUUCCCACCUCUGGCUCCAUACCCUUCUCAAGGACACCCCAGCCCACAAGUCCAAGUUCAAUCUACACCCUGUGCAAACAGGUACCGCUGGAGGCACAGUCCCGCCUUGGAAGGAUGAACCAAAGACCAGGCCCAUGCAGGCUCUGAAAGUAGGCGUGGGGCGUAUAGACUGGGAAGUUCAGGUUCUACGGAGCCAGAGCAUGGUCUGGAAGGGGAGGCGUCAACUCUAGGUGGGCUUGUCCCCUUGGUCCCAUGGACUUCUCAGCCCAUCUGGAGGGCACAGCUAGCAGAGGGUCAGAGCAGGGCCCCUUGCCUGGGUCUAAGGACAGUACUGCCAUAAAGUUCCCCACAGUCCGGGUUUUGCUGAUCACAUCCCCAAGAUAUCAUUAAACAAGUUUCUUUUGUUUUGUUUUGUUUUUUUUAAGAUUUUAUUUUUCCUUUUUCUCUCCAAAGCCCCCCAGUACAUAGUCGUGUAUUUUUAGUUGUGGGUCCUUCUGAUUGUGGCAUGUGGGAUGCCGCCUCAGCAUGGCCUGGUGAGCAGUGCCAUGUCCGCACCCUGGAUCUGAACCGGCGAAACCCUGGGCCACAGAAGCAGAGCGCAGGAACCUAACCACUCAGCCACAGGGCCAGCCCCCUAAACAAGUUUCUUUGUUUCCUCUAUUUCCUAUAAAUUGAUACUUAGAUCUAGAAGUUUGAUCAGAUGAUUCGGGUACAAUGUUUUGGGCAAGACUAUUUUAUAGAUGAGUGUUGUAUACACCCGUCAGGAGGCACAUAAAAUCCUGUUGUCUUUCUUUUUAAUGGGGUUAUAAUUAAGAUAAAGUAAAAUCUUUUUUCCUUUUUUUUUUUUUGUCCCUGAGCUCACAUCUGUGCCAGCCUUCCUCUAUUUUGUAUGCGGGAUGCUGCAACAGUGUGGCUUGAUGAUCCAUGUGUAGGUCUGUGCCCAGGAUCUGAACCCACGAAACCCAGUCCCCCAAAGCAAAGGACACAAACUUAACCACUACGCCACUGGGGCUGGCCCCGAAAUGCACAAAUCUCAACAGUUCAGUUCAAAUAGUUUCAACAAUUGUGUAGAGCCAUGUAGCGUUCUCCCAAAACAAGAUGUAGAAUAUUUCUAUCACCCCAGAAAGUCCUCUCAUGCGUCUUUAGUCAGUUCCACUCCACCUACGGAGUCAACCACCUUCUCACUCCCCUCACUAUGGAGAGUUUUGCCUAUUCUUUGACUUCAUAUAAAUGGAAUCAUACAGUGUGUACUCUUUUGUGUGUACUUUCCUUAAAUUAACAUAAUUUUUCAAUUUAUCUGUGUUGCAUGUAUUAGUACACCAGUUCAUCCUUUUUUAUUGCUGAGUGGUGUUCCAUAUAUGGAUAUACCAUAAUUUGUUCAUUCUCCUCUCUGUGGAUAUUAGGGUAGUUUCCAGUUUGGGGCUAUUAUGAAUAAGGCUGCUAUGAACAUUCUUGUUCACAUCAUCUUGUGGGCAUUUUCAUUUCUUCUGGGUAAAUAUUUAGACAUGGAAAUGAUUGUUUAACUUCAAAAGAAAGAGAUUGUCAAACAGUUCUUCAAAGUGGUUGUAGCAUUUGACAUUUCCAGCAACCAUGUAUGUGAAUUCCAGGUGCUCCACAUCCUCUCCAACAUGGAAUGCUGGCAAUCUGGUUAAUUUCUGGUUGUCUCUCUUUUUGUGCUAUUAGCAGCUAUUGAUUAUCAUUACUUAGAGACAUUAGUUUGUUAGGGUUUCCAAAAUGGUGUUAUUGUAAUUCUAUCAUUUAUUUGCUGAAAUGCUUCUAUGAAGAGGAACUUUCUUCCAACAUCUAUUUGAUUUCCCUGAAAUACAACAGGAAAGACAGGAUUAAUGCUUAAUCCUUUCUCUUUUUUACCAAUUUUCAAAAUAACGUGUUGGUUCUCUCACGUCCAUCAAAGAUUGCCAAUGAAAGGUUUUUUUUAGUAUCAUUAUAAACUCAUGAAUUUAAAUAUAUUUGAUGUGUUUAAUCCAUUUCAGUUAUCAUCCUUACUGAUGCUCAAAGUAUCCAAUCUUUAGCCAGUGGGGAUCUCUUCAGAUUAGCUCCUCAGUUCUUUUCUUUUUUUUAGGAAGAUCAGCCCUGAGCUAACAUCUGCUUCCAAUCCUCCUCUUUUUGCUGAGGAAGACUGGCCCUGAGCUAACAUCUGUGCCCAUCUUCCUCUACUUUAUAUGUGAGACGCCUACCACAGCAUGGCUUGCCAAGCAGUGCCAUGUCGCCACCCAGGAUCCGAAACGGUGAACCCAGGACCGCCGAAGUGGAACGUGUGCACUUAACCACUGCGCCACCCAGCCGGCCCCUUGUAGCUCCUCAGUUCUUUAACACAACCCUCUAAGUCUUUGAUAGCUUCCUUGCCUUCUUAAUGACAGGAUGUUCCAGACUGAUCUUCAAUGUUUCCUACCCCAGACAUGGAAUCAGCCAUUACUCCAAGGGACCCUGGUUCUUUUUAGUGAUAAAUGGUAUUUUUGAGGCCACAGUCUGGUAAGGGUGUUUAUUGCUGCUGGGAGGUUCGUUGUUUCUAGACCUUUGCAGUGGGCAGAGCUAGGAAAUGUGUUGUUUUAAAGAUAUAACACAACAUGAGUUUAUAUUGAUGUGUCCAAUUCAAACUCGAGUACCCCCAUCAGUCUGACAUCUGUAUCUCCCUUCCCCAUGCCUAAAACCCACCAUAAUGGCUCAUUUGCUUUAUCCCACCACGUACAAACAACAGGCUCAGAGUAACAGUCUUGGCACUACCACCACAAUACAAUUACUGAAAACCGUUUUGGGUAUUUUGUGGUCGUUUGGAGGGGGAGGGCAUUUUGUACCUCUUUCUGUUAUUAGGCGACAUUCGGGUAGGAGUGUGCAGGCGAUCACUGUGGUUUUAAGUCACUUGGAAAGGUUCCUCAUGGGUGGCUGUGCCACUAACUCAACACUUAGUUGGGUUAAUUUGUUUAAUUUUGAUUUCAACUUUUAGGGAUUGCAUUUUUAAAUUUAACUUUGUUUUUUA
rnacentral:lncRNA from 1 species